UAUCUCGCUGUCCGUCAAUCAGGAGGCCUUUUCAUCACGCCCGUCGUGCCAUUUUUAAUCUCUUAGCUCUUUCACCUCUAAGUGGUUUCUGUAUUCAGUGAUUGGCGUGAGAAGGGACACGGAGUACCCUACCAACAUGAACACGUGUGAGGGGAACGCGUCGGAUGAAAGCACACAGGAGAGCACUGCCAAUAACAAAGAUGUCAACCCGGACGGCAGUGGUGGAAAAAUACCAAAGGAAGUAAACGAGGAACACAACAUCAACCAGAGGAUUACAGCUGUGGAAAGCUUCGAGAAUACUUAUAGGAAAGAGGCACCAGAUCUAUGGAAGCGGCGGUUGGAGCCAAAGAAAGGGUCCGCGAAGGUGAA